rnacentral:rRNA from 1 species
GAUGAACGCUGGCGGCGUGCCUAAUACAUGCAAGUCGAGCGAACAGAUGAGGAGCUUGCUCCUCUGACGUUAGCGGCGGACGGGUGAGUAACACGUGGAUAACCUACCUAUAAGACUGGGAUAACUUCGGGAAACCGGAGCUAAUACCGGAUAAUAUAUUGAACCGCAUGGUUCAAUAGUGAAAGACGGUUUUGCUGUCACUUAUAGAUGGAUCCGCGCCGCAUUAGCUAGUUGGUAAGGUAACGGCUUACCAAGGCGACGAUGCGUAGCCGACCUGAGAGGGUGGUCGGCCACACUGGAACUGAGACACGGUCCAGACUCCUACGGGAGGCAGCAGUAGGGAAUCUUCCGCAAUGGGCGAAAGCCUGACGGAGCAACGCCGCGUGAGUGAUGAAGGUCUUCGGAUCGUAAAACUCUGUUAUUAGGGAAGAACAAAUGUGUAAGUAACUAUGCACGUCUUGACGGUACCUAAUCAGAAAGCCACGGCUAACUACGUG